rnacentral:rRNA from 1 species
AAGGAAAAGGCAGCAGGCGCGUAAAUUACCCAAUCUUGACACAAGGAGGUAGUGACAAUAAAUAACAAUGCCGGGCCUUCAAGGUCUGGCAAUUGGAAUGAGAACAAUUUAAACCCCUUAUCGAGGAUCAAUUGGAGGGCAAGUCUGGUGCCAGCAGCCGCGGUAAUUCCAGCUCCAAUAGCGUAUAUUAAAGUUGUUGCAGUUAAAAAGCUCGUAGUUGGAUUUGUGGUGGUCCCUGUGGUCCGAUUUCGGUACUUUUGGGGACUGCCAUCCUUGGGUGGAUCUUGUGUGGCAUUAGGUUGUCGUGCAGGGGAUGCCCAUCGUUUACUGUGAAAAAAUUAGAGUGUUCAAAGCAGGCUUAUGCCGUUGAAUAUAUUAGCAUGGAAUAAUAAGAUAGGACCUUGGUACUAUUUUGUUGGUUUGCGCACCGAGGUAAUGAUUAAUAGGGACAGUUGUGGGUAUUCGUAUUCCAUUGUCAGAGGUGAAAUUCUUGGAUUUCUGGAAGACGAACUAAUGCGAAAGCAUUUACCAAGGAUGUUUUCAUUAAUCAAGAACGAAAGUUAGGGGAUCGAAGAUGAUUAGAUACCAUCGUAGUCUUAACCAUAAACUAUGCCGACAAGGGAUUGGCGGGGUUUCGUUUCGUCUCCGUCAGCACCUUAUGAGAAAUCACAAGUUUUUGGGUUCCGGGGGGAGUAUGGUCGCAA